ensembl:lncRNA
CACGGGCUCUCUAACCCCAUCUCCUUCCUCUUCAGCUUGUGAACAGGCUGAGUCACAUCCUUGGGUGCUCCCCACACCUGGCAGAUCACUUCCUUCACACAAACUUCCCUUGACUACAAAGAACGGUUGGAAUACAAACACCGUUUUGUCUUGUUUGUCUAAAGUUCCAUAUUUGGGGCUUGAGGCUGGGUCUAUGAAUGACACUUUCCACCCCUUCCCUCCCUCCCUUCCCCCAACCACAUAGUAAGCCAUUCUAGGAGAUACCCGGAGCCAAGGUAAAGGGUGAGAAGGGCAGAACACGGCCCCUUUGUUUCUGAUCUCCAGCCACUCCAGUGCCUUGAAGGUUAUCUUCCUUCUUAUUUAGACUUUAUUUUUUAAACCAGAACCUUCUGAUGCUACACUUGACCUAGGCCGAGAAGCGAUGAAAAAAACACAAACCCUUCCCGUCUGUCUUGGACUCAACGCGAGAGCUUGGCUCCAAGGCAGAAGAGCGGGAAGGGCUAAGGAAGCAAUGGAGGUGGACUGGUUGGUGUGCCCGGGGUGGCACAGCUAGGAAGUGUCAGAGGUGGGUUUUGAAUCCAGGACCUCCCCUCUCCAGGCCUGACGGAAGGAGAUCUUCUUGUCUCAACAAGGAAGGAGAAGAGGGAGAGAAAGACUUGUAGAAUGGAGGUGGGGGAAGAAGAGGAAAUAUUGAGAGAGAAAAAAGAAGCUGAAGAUGGUUAUCCAUUUGAGGCCGAGAUGCUCUAUGGCUCCCUGCUACAGCAAGGAAAAAGAGAAGAGGAACAAGGAACCUGCAACCUUCUCACUCGUGAGGGACUGGCUGGAAACUUUCCCCUCUUGUGUACUCUUCAAAGCCUCUGUGAGCCCCUUAACCAGAGUCUACACUUGUCUGGUCAGAGGCAACCAGAUCUGCCUGCAGCUGCUUGAUGAGAAAAGAAGCCCUCCCAGAGACCUGGGGAAGCAGCUGGAGAGAGAUGCUUGCCAGCUUGGGGGUGUAAAUAUUUAUAAACCAUGGUUGGUGGGAAGAGAGAGGGCAGAAGAAGGAAUCAGAGGAGGUUGGACUUGGCGAAUUCGAGUUGAGAAACAUGGCACCCCAGAUCCCUGAUCUGAUUCAGUGGUGGAGAAGGAGUAGAUCACUGGAAAGUAGUAGGAGAGAGACAAUGAGAUGGCUCAGUGGAGAGUAAGACAGGCCUGGAGAGUCAGAUCCCUAGGUUCAACCGUUGAACCCUAGGCAAGUCACUUAAACCCCAUUGCCUGGACUUAUUUAUCACUCUUCUGCCUUGGAACCAAUAAUUGGUUGAUAAUAAUUGCGUUGAUUCUAAGAUAGAAGAAGGUAAGGGUUUAAAGAAAAACAAAGGAGAGAAGAGAAGAGAAGAGAAGAGAAGAGAAGAGAAGAGAAGAGAAGAGAAGAGAAGAGAAGAGAAGAGAAGAGAAGAGAAGAGAAGAGAAGAGAAGAGAAGAGAAGAGAAGAGAAGAGAAGAGAAGGAGAAGAGAAAGAGAAGAGAAAGAGAAGAGAAAGAGAAAAGGACUACGUACUCCUGGGCUGGGUAAUAAUAAUUAUUAAUAAGAAUAAUAAAGCACUUUAUAAAUAACA